UCUGCUCACCAGCCAGGGAAUGCAGAGACCCAACUCUUUUGUGUGUGAGAGAGACUCUGUGCAUGAGAGGGAGAGUUUGUGUGUAAACACCAAGGGGGACUGAUUGCUUCCCCAAAGCUUCCAGUUUCAAAGUGUUUGUUAAGAUUUUGGUGGGAAUAUCUUUCUCCUCUCUUUUGCUUGUUUCUAGGAGGAGAGGAGAGCUCAGAAGAGGUUGCUUCAGAAUCUUUGACCAGCUAGGAAGAAUAAAUUUCUGCACCCAGAGGCCAUAAACUGAUGACUCUCCUCUCCCAAUGUCAUUUGCACUCCAAGGCCAGCCAAGAGGGAUGAAAGAACAAGGAUGAAGGAGGGAAAGAUCUCAGCUCUUUGUGUCUGUCAGUACCUCCUACCUAGGUACAGCCAAAGGGCAAGAUUGCAAUUGCCAAAUGCCAGCCCACAAGAGAGAUGAGGGGCCACUUUUCUGGAGCCGGCCUGCCUCUGCUGCACUUCUGCCCUGCCUUUUCUCUGCUGCACACAAGUCCCAGGAAGAGGCAUUUGUGGUGCUGGUUAUUUGUUAGGUGGUGUCUUGGCUUGGACCAUGAUUUCAACAGGAGAUUGCACAAAUGAUGAAACUAAUUUUUACGAAUCAUUCUGUGGAUCAUGGGCAGACAAGGAUACUUUUGUAUUGUUUGCUGGUUUGCAGUUUUCUGUUCUGGAUUUCACGGAUAAACAAGAAAUCUAGCAAAGUAAGCACAUGAAUAUUGGCAGAUACUUGAAGCUAUGGACUUUCAUAAAAGAAAAAUAUAAAAUAUAAAUGUGUUGAAGUGGACAGUA